rnacentral:rRNA from 1 species
GAGCGUGCGGUUUAAUUGGAUCAACACCGGGAAAACUCACCAGCAGCGACUGUUACAUGAAAGUCAGGCCGAUGACCUUACUAGAUUUUCAGAGAGGUGGUGCAUGGCCGUCGUCAGUUCGUACCGUAAGGCGUUCUCUUAAGUGAGAUAACGAACGAGACCCUCACCAAUAAUUGCUACUGCAUCGUCCGCGAUGUAGGCACAUUAUUGGGACCGCUGGCGCAAAGUCAGAGGAAAAAAAAGGUCAACGGUAGGUCAGUAUGCCCCGAAUCUGCUGGGCUACACGCGCGUUACAAAGGGCGGGACAAUGGGCUCCGACGCCGAAAGGCGAAGGCAAUCUCGAAACCCGUCCGUAGUUCGGAUUGAGGGUUGUAACUCACCCUCAUGAAGCUGGAUUCCGUAGUAAUCGCGAAUCAACAACUCGCGGUGAAUAUGCCCCUGCCCCUUGCACACACCGUAA